CAAAAUAUAGUUUAAUAAAAAUUUUAAUUUUGGGAAUUAAUGAUGCUGAUAUUCAGUUAUUUUGA
rnacentral:tRNA from 1 species